rnacentral:rRNA from 1 species
GUCCAUGCCGUAAACGUUGGGAACUAGAUGUGGGGGCCAUUCCACGGUCUCCGUGUCGCAGCUAACGCAUUAAGUUCCCCGCCUGGGGAGUACGACCGCAAGGCUAAAAACUCAAAGGAAUUGACGGGGGCCCGCACAAGCGGCGGAGCAUGCGGAUUAAUUCGAUGCAACGCGAAGAACCUUACCAAGGCUUGACAUAUACCGGAAACGUCCAGAGAUGGUCGCCCCGCAAGGUCGGUAUACAGGUGGUGCAUGGUUGUCGU